UUGACCUCAAAUCAGGUAGGACUACCCGCUGAACUUAAGCAUAUCAAUAAGCGGAGGAAAAGAACUAACAAGGAUUCCCCUAGUAACUGCGAGUGAAGCGGGAAAAGCUCAAAUUNAAAUCUGGCGNCNUUGCGCUGUCNAGUUGUAUCUGGAGA
rnacentral:rRNA from 1 species